GGUUACGGGGGGCUGGAGCCUAUCACAGCAGCAGCAGAGCGCGAGGCAGGGCACACCAUGAACAGGAUGCCAGGCUGUCGCAGGGCCACAUAUAGACAAACAAAC